rnacentral:lncRNA from 1 species
UUUCAACGAGGAUUUUUCCCUUGUUUCUUUUUGCAGCUGGCAUGUGGCUGCGGUCACUCCUCGGGCGUGCCUAGCUCCUGCGGUGGCUUCCUCAAGACUGAUUGGCUUCAUUCUCAGCAAGCUCUCUUCACAUGGAGGGAAAGAAGCUCCUGGCAGCCACACGUUCGUGUGGUGGUUACAGUUCAUGAUCUCCGGAGGAGAAAGACUUCCAACAUUCCCACCCCUCUCUGGACAGCGACUCUGCUUGGCUCCAUUUGGGUCACGUGCCCACCUCUGGACCCAUCACUGUCACCUGGAAACAGGUAAUCCUAACUGGUCAGGCUACUCAUGCACCCACUCUUGUGAUGGGGGAGGCAAAGCCCUUCGCUUCACAGCCCCACUGGUGGAGACCACCGCCCACCACAGCAAAGCGUCUCCAGCACAAUUCUGGGACCCAAAGAAGUCCCAAGCAGUCCAAAUUCAGAGAUAGCUUUACUCUGACAAAAACAUGCGUGUUAGUUGGGCUGGACUCUGUAGGGUGCAAUCAGGAAAUAGCCUUAUUUCAUUUUUUUCCCAUUCUUGUGCUUCAAACCGGCUGUGUCAGAUUUCCUUUUCCUGACUCUAGACAGUAUCCUGAGCAAAGUGCGUAACUUUUCCAGUUGCUUUUUACUUUUAGAACAGUCUUAUUUCAAG